GAUGAAGAACGUAGCGAAAUGCGAUAAGUAAUGUGAAUUGCAGAAUUCAGUGAAUCAUCGAAUCUUUGAACGCACAUUGCGCCCGGCAGUACUCUGCCGGGCAUGCCUGUUCGAGCGUCAUUUCAACCCUCAAGCCCUGCUUGGUGUUGGGGCCCCACGGCUGCCGUGGGCCCUGAAAGGAAGUGGCGGGCUCGCUACAACUCCGAGCGUAGUAAUUCAUUAUCUCGCUUAGGGCGUUGGGCGGCGCUCCAGCCGUUAAAGAACCAUCUUUAACUCAAGGUUGACCUCGGAUCAGGUAGGAAUACCCGCUGAACUUAAGCAUAUCAUAAGCGGAGGA
rnacentral:misc_RNA from 1 species